rnacentral:rRNA from 1 species
CAAUAGCGUAUAUUAAAGUUGUUGCGGUUAAAAAGCUCGUAGUUGGAUUUCUGCCGAGGACGACCGGUCCGCCCUCUGGGUGAGUAUCUGGUUCGGCCUGGGCAUCUUCUUGGAGAACGUAUCUGCACUUGACUGUGUGGUGCGGUAUCCAGGACUUUUACUUUGAGGAAAUUAGAGUGUUUCAAGCAGGCACACGCCUUGAAUACAUUAGCAUGGAAUAAUAAGAUAGGACCUUGGUUCUAUUUUGUUGGUUUCUAGAGCUGAGGUAAUGAUUAAUAGGGAUAGUUGGGGGCGAUUCGUAUUAACGCGUCAGAGGUGGAAUUCUUAGAUUGCGUUACGACGAACUACUGCGAAAGCAUUUGCCAAGGAUGUUUUCUAUUGAUCAAGAACGAAAGUAUGGGAGUCAAAGAUGAUCAGAUACCGU